UACGUAGGGUGCAAGCGUUGUCCGGAAUUAUUGGGCGUAAAGAGCUCGUAGGCGGUCUGUCGCGUCGGCUGUGAAAUCCCGAGGCUCAACCUCGGGUCUGCAGUCGAUACGGGCAAACUAGAGUAUUGCAGGGGAGACUGGAAUUCCUGGUGUAGCGGUGAAAUGCGCAGAUAUCAGGAGGAACACCGGUGGCGAAGGCGGGUCUCUGGGCGAAUAACUGACGCUGAGGAGCGAAAGCGUGGGGGAGCGAACAGG
rnacentral:rRNA from 1 species